ACGCCCUAAGUUGUUAUCUAUCAAUGGAAUCACAUUUUGUGAUACCGAAAAAUACGCCCCCUGCCUUCUAAGCAGAGGGUAACAGGUUCGAGUCCUGUCGGGGGUA
rnacentral:tRNA from 1 species